rnacentral:rRNA from 1 species
UAAGCAUAUCAAUAAGCGGAGGAAAAGAAACCAACAGGGAUUGCCCUAGUAACGGCGAGUGAAGCGGCAACAGCUCAAAUUUGAAAUCUGGCGUCUUUGGCGUCCGAGUUGUAAUUUGCAGAGGGCGCUUUGGCAUUGGCAGCGGUCCAAGUUCCUUGGAACAGGACGUCACAGAGGGUGAGAAUCCCGUACGUGGUCGCUAGCCUUUACCGUGUAAAGCCCCUUCGACGAGUCGAGUUGUUUGGGAAUGCAGCUCUAAAUGGGAGGUAAAUUUCUUCUAAAGCUAAAUACUGGCCAGAGACCGAUAGCGCACAAGUAGAGUGAUCGAAAGAUGAAAAGCACUUUGGAAAGAGAGUUAAAAAGCACGUGAAAUUGUUGAAAGGGAAGCGCUUGCAGCCAGACUUGCCUGUAGUUGCUCAUCUGGGUUUUUACCCAGUGCACUCUUCUAUAGGCAGGCCAGCAUCAGUUUGGGCGGUUGGAUAAAGGUCUCUGUCAUGUACCUCUCUUCGGGGAGAACUUAUAGGGGAGACGACAUGCAACCAGCCUGGACUGAGGUCCGCGCAUCUGCUAGGAUGCUGGCGUAAUGGCUGUAAGCGGCCCGUCUUGAAACACGGACCAAGGAGUCUAACAUCUAUGCGAGUGUUUGGGUGUCAAGCCCGAGCGCGUAAUGAAAGUGAACGGAGGUGGGAACCUUUCGGGGUGCACCAUCGACCGAUCCUGAUGUCUUCGGAUGGAUUUGAGUAAGAGCAUAGCUGUUGGGACCCGAAAGAUGGUGAACUAUGCUUGAAUAGGGUGAAGCCAGAGGAAACUCUGGUGGAGGCUCGCAGCGGUUCUGACGUGCAAAUCGAUCGUCAAAUUUGGGCAUAGGGGCGAAAGACUAAUCG